GACGAACGCUGGCGGCGUGCCUAAUACAUGCAAGUAGAACGCUGAAGGAGGAGCUUGCUUCUCUGGAUGAGUUGCGAACGGGUGAGUAACGCGUAGGUAACCUGCCUGGUAGCGGGGGAUAACUAUUGGAAACGAUAGCUAAUACCGCAUAAGAGUAGAUGUUGCAUGACAUUUGCUUAAAAGGUGCAAUUGCAUCACUACCAGAUGGACCUGCGUUGUAUUAGCUAGUUGGUGGGGUAACGGCUUACCAAGGCGACGAUACAUAGCCGACCUGAGAGGGUGAUCGGCCACACUGGGACUGAGACACGGCCCAGACUCCUACGGGAGGCAGCAGUAGGGAAUCUUCGGCAAUGGACGGAAGUCUGACCGAGCAACGCCGCGUGAGUGAAGAAGGUUUUCGGAUCGUAGAGCUCUGUUGUAAGAGAAGAACGAGUGUGAGAGUGGAAAGUUCACACUGUGACGGUAUCUUACCAGAAAGGGACGGCUAACUACGUG
rnacentral:rRNA from 1 species